ensembl:lncRNA
UACUUUAAAGAAUACCAUGGUACAUUGAUUGUUUUUUAAUGUAGCAUGACAUUGUUUGACUGGUAGAUAUUUGUCUGUAUUUCAGCUCCUUGUACGGCUCGUAACAUUCGGGCACUAAUUGACUGUCAAUCUGGUGUGGCUAUAUUGUCAUGGCAGUCAGGCACUGGGGCAACGCAAUUCACGGCCACAGCAGUAAGUGAAUCUGGCCAUGUACUCAGCUGUGAAAAUAACAAAACUAACUGUGAGCUGACAGGACUGGCCUGUGGAGAGAGCUACAACAUUACUGUGUUAGCAGAAGGACAGACCUGCAACAGCACUGCAACCAUGAGUGGACGCCUGAAUACAGGUCCUUGUGCACCUCAGAAUAUUGAAGUGCAGUACAGCCUGUCUAUUGGCCAGCUGUCAUGGGACAGAAGUACAGGUGCUUCCAUGUACACGGCGCAGGCUGCCACUGAUCUGGGAUCAGUGCUGUCCUGCUCCACCAGUGACACCUCCUGUGCCCUUUAUAAUGUGUCCUGCAGUCAGACAUAUGACAUCACUGUGACAGCACACAACAAUGUCUGCCGAGGAGCUGCUGUGUCUGCAUCAACUACUCUAAACACAGGUACAUUAAAUUUGCAAUUUUACCAGUGAUUUUAGUGCUUUAUGCACAGAUGUUCAACAACUGACUCUUUAUGCAUCACCAGAACCCUGCCCGCCACAGAACGUGCAAACCCAUCUGAAUUGCGCAAGUGAUGUAGGGACUGUGUCUUGGGAGGAGAGUUUGGGGGCAGUGGCAUAUGUGGCUUUCCUGGAGGGUCGCAAUGGACACAGCCUGUCCUGCUCCACAACUAGCUCCAGCUGCAGUGUGACGGGGUUGAUCUGUGGAACGCUUUACAGCACUCAAGUACGCGCCAUUGGAGAAACUUACAACAGCACAGACAGCGAAACAGUUCUCUUCACAUCAGGUUAGGCAUCUAAGAAAUGACAAAUUAGGAACCAUUUACAUUCUUUGGCAUGACAACAGGAAUUUGUUGCUCUCAUGUUUAAAUAACAGAGAAUUGUGCCGUCUGCUAAGUUGUUCGUCACUGCUGUGUCUUUGUGUCUAGCCCCCUGUCUACCAGAUUCCAGUUCAGUCACUGUUGACAUGAACUGUGAGAAUGCCACGGCAUUGUUCAGGUGGGCCUGGAGUGGCGGAGCUGCAUCCUAUGAGCUCACUGUUAUCAGUGACAAUGGCUACAUAGCCUCCUGCAUUUCCCAAGAGAAUUUCUGUAAUAUCAGCGAACUAGCCUGCGGACAGACUUACACAGUCAGGCUCACAGCAAUCAGUGAUGAAUGUCAGGUUACUCAGGAGACGGGAGUGACCUUCCAAACACGUGAGUAACCAUAUUUUAUAUACAUUAUUUGCAAAAGGGACAAAACACGUGCAGUGUGGCUGUAGGAAGUGAAUAUAGCUGAUAACGGGAAUAUCAAAUUUAACUAAUUUGUCGUUUGACCUCUAGGCCCCUGUGCUCCAUUGCAUGUGAACGUGGAUCUUCAGUGCAAUCCUAGCACAGCUGUAGUGACUUGGGAAGAAAGGGACGAUGUGCUAUACUAUCUUGUCAGUGCCAACCUCAGCACAGGAGAAGCAGAUAAAGUUUGUAACUCUACAACU